rnacentral:rRNA from 1 species
GACGAACGCUGGCGGCGUGCCUAAUACAUGCAAGUAGAACGCAGUUGCGAACGGGUGAGUAACGCGUAGGUAACUGCCUCAUAGCGGGGGAUAACUAUUGGAAACGAUAGCUAAUACCACAUACUGUGAUAUGGACCUGCGUUGUAUUAGGUAGUUGGUGAGGUAAAGGCUCACCAAGGCGACGUUACCUAGCCUAACUGAGAGGGAGAUCGGCCAAACUGGGACUGAGACACGUCACAGACUGCUACCGGAGGCAGCAGGAGGGAAUUUUCGGCAAUGGAGGGAAGUCUGACCGAGCAACGCCGCGUGAGUGAAGAAGGUUUUCGGAUCGUAAAGCUCUGUUGUUAGAGAAGCGUUAACUACCCAGAAAGGGACGGCUAACUACGUGCCAGCAGCCGCGGUAAUUC